rnacentral:rRNA from 1 species
AACUAACGCUGGCGGCGUGCCUAACACAUGCAAGUCGUACGAGAAAGCCGGCUUCGGCUGGUGAGUAAAGUGGCGCACGGGUGAGUAACGCGUGGAUAAUCUGCCCUUAAGUGUGGAAUAACGUACCGAAAGGUGCGCUAAUACCGCAUAAUGCCUGGCAACACAAGUUGUCCGGCCAAAGAAGGCCUCUGUUUACAAGCUUUCGCUUCAGGAUGAGUCCGCGUACCAUUAGCUUGUUGGUGGGGUAAUGGCCUACCAAGGCUGCGAUGGUUAGCUGGUCUGAGAGGAUGAUCAGCCACACUGGAACUGAGACACGGUCCAGACUCCUACGGGAGGCAGCAGCGAGGAAUAUUGCGCAAUGGGGGCAACCCUGACGCAGCAACGCCGCGUGAGUGAGGAAGGUUUUCGGACUGUAAAGCUCUGUCGAGCGGGAAGAAGUGUACCAUGGCUAAUAUCCAUGAUAUUUGACGGUACCGCUAGAGG